rnacentral:lncRNA from 1 species
GAAGACUGUCCAGGGUCUGAUGGAUGAGGGGAGUAUUUCGAUCGAGAAGGCUGAUAAGGGGAAUGAUGAGGUCUCCACCAUAACAAUAUAUUUUGACCCGGUGGAUUUGUCUAAUCUAGCUGAGGCGGCUCCGGUUACCAUCACGAUACCUGGACCAAUUCCGUAUGACAAAGAUGAUGCCGUGUCGUGGCAUUAUGGUGGAGAGGUUUAUUGCAAUGGUGAGAAAGUG